rnacentral:rRNA from 1 species
UACGAAGGGGGCUAGCGUUGCUCGGAAUCACUGGGCGUAAAGCGCACGUAGGCGGAUUGUUAAGUCAGGGGUGAAAUCCUGGAGCUCAACUCCAGAACUGCCUUCGAUACUGGCGAUCUUGAGUCCGGGAGAGGUGAGUGGAACUCCGAGUGUAGAGGUGAAAUUCGUAGAUAUUCGGAAGAACACCAGUGGCGAAGGCGGCUCACUGGCCCGGUACUGACGCUGAGGUGCGAAAGCGUGGGGAGCAAACAGG